ensembl:lncRNA
UUUUUUUCUAAGUGACAGAAAGUGAAAGAUUUCUGUUCCCACCGAUGUAUUUCUGUUUCACUGAAACCACCCUGUUUCCGUCUUUUUUUUUUUCCCCUCCCCGGUAAGAAUUUGUUGUUUGAUUUUUUUAAGUAAACAGAAACUGCUCACAGUAUAACUUUUAUGCCAAAAAAGAAAAAGAAAAAGGAAAAAAAAAAAAAGAAAAAAAAAGGACGAGUGCUUGCUGCCAUAGCAACCCCUGGUCAAAAGGAAAUUUCCAUUGAUAUCAGAAGGAGCAGCAUUUCACCCAGGAUGUCUAAGCAAGAGAAUCAGAAUCACUGCAGAAUCUAAUAGGAAUAUUGUUGGAGUUCACCCCAGUUAGAUCAGAAACCUAUUUCAAGGAAAUGAACAGAUGUUCGUGGAAUUAGGUUAACAUGACACACAACUUCUCUAUAUCUGGAUCACUUUGGGGUGUUUCUUCCAUGCACUUAUCCAAAGCUAACAGCAGAUAACUCUUCAAUAUUCUACGGGUUCCACCUGAAUGGGUAGUGCUCUAGAAGUAAAAAGAGUAUCCUCUCUUUUUAGUAGCUACCUAUCUUAUUGCAAAACACAGCACCUUAGUAUUGUCAAUAACUGUUAUGCAUCAGACAGUAUGAUAGAAAGGCUCAAGAGUGGUUAGAAGACUUCCUUCCAUGAAAAGGUAGAAUCCACCUGCUCCUUUUAAACUCCUGAAGACAUUGUAGUGAAACAGAGAUUAAUCAUAUGCCUCUUAAAUGGGAAUACUGCCUGGGAGAGAGAGACAUGAAAUCCCUCCACCUCUGAAAACCAGACGACAUACAGACAAACAGAUAGGUACAUAACCUGGAGGAAGAAUGAAUAAUCAUCAAGUUGUAGGUAGGGAUAUGAGAAGAAUGUCAAGCAGUGGGAAAUGAAGCAGAAGAAGACAGACCAAAUCCAUUAUUAUCUACAGAUCAGAAACAUGCUGAUAGGUACCAUUAACAACUUCUAAUGCAAAAUGGUCCAAUUUAAUUUUUUCUGUUAUGCAAAAGAGCUUAA